AGCGAACGCUGGCGGCAGGCCUAACACAUGCAAGUCGAACGGACCCUUCGGGGUUAGUGGCGGACGGGUGAGUAACACGUGGGAACGUGCCUUUAGGUUCGGAAUAGCUCCUGGAAACGGGUGGUAAUGCCGAAUGUGCCCUUCGGGGGAAAGAUUUAUCGCCUUUAGAGCGGCCCGCGUCUGGUUAGCUAGUUGGUGGUGUAACGGACCACCAAGGCGACGAUCAGUAGCUGGUCUGAGAGGAUGAUCAGCCACAUUGGGACUGAGACACGGCCCAAACUCCUACGGGAGGCAGCAGUGGGGAAGCUUGCGCAAUGGGCGAAAGCCUGACGCAGCCAUGCCGCGUGAAUGAUGAAGGUCUUAGGAUUGUAAAAUUCUUUCACCGGGGACGAUAAUGACGGUACCCGGAGAAGAAGCCCCGGCUAACUUCGUGCCAGCAGCCGCCGCCGUAA
rnacentral:rRNA from 1 species